rnacentral:lncRNA from 1 species
UUAAAAUAAAAAACAGUGUAACAAGAGGAGAAAUGGUGCAACAAGAGGAGAAACAGUGCAACUUUUGUUUAAAGAGUGUAACUUUCAUCUUAAUAGAUGCAGUUUACAUCUGAAAGAGUGUAAUAAGAAGAGAAACAGUGUAAAUAUCUCUCAAGAGUGUAAUUUUCGUUUAAAGAGUGUAGUUUUCAUCUUAAAGCUGCAGUUUACAUCUUAAGUAGUGCAACUUAUAAUUUUUUUUACAAGUUAACGAUGCAAUUUCAUGUUCAUCGUUCUUUUUAUAUAAUUUUUUAUCUUUAUUUUUUUUCUGUUUUUUCUAUAAUUUUUUUUGUCGCCCUCUCUGCAACAGUCACGGUGCGGCGACGACGCCGCUAAGGACCCCCGCUCUGAGUCUGUAGCGCCGCAAUGACCUCCAUGGUGUCGACGUCGGCGGCCGGCGAAGAUGCAUCGUCGUCGGAUGCGACAAGAAUGAGGGAGAGGGAGGAGAUGAGAAGGGCGAGGAAGGACGAGAGAGGCGUCGUCGUCGGAGACGGUGGAGAAGAGUCGGAGAAGAAAAGAAAAGAAAAAAGCUUAAAAAAAAAAAAAAAAAGUCGCGGCGCGGCUUUGGCGGGGUUGGAGGCGAGGAAGGUGGGGGGUGCGUGGACGAGGGCAAGGGCGAGGGCGAGGGCGAGAGAAUGAGGGUGAGAGGCGAGACGGACCGUUUCCGUCUUCGCUCUGCCGGCGAGAAAAAAAUAAAAACGAAAGAAACGAAGAGGAGAGAGAAAGAGGAAAGAGAAAAAGUAAAAAUGGUAUUUUGGUCAGUUUGCUGAAAAAGCGGACCAAAUCUGCAAAAACGAAAAAGGUGGCCCGGUUUUGCAAAAGCCCAAAAUAAGUGAAUUUUUUAUGCAAAUUGGCCUAAUUUUAUUAAUUCUUUACAGCUGUUCGGAGUGGAGCCCGUGAAUGGCGCGGACGUUACGAGCCCAUAGUGUACUCCUAUAUGGAUAUUUAUAUAGUCCUUUACCUGUUCAUUGAGAUUAUGAACACUACCAAGGAGAACACAGAGAAAAGAGAUAAUUUCGAGAGUUCUCUUUUAAUUUUUAAGCUUAAUUCACUUUAUUUGGUCUUUUAUCAUUGGGUGUUGAAAGAAGCUCCGUCAACCUCUUCCGCGUUCGUGUCCGUAGGAAGAGGAGUUCCGGUUGUAUCUUGGGGCGAUGUUUCCGGUUAAUCCCACACGAAGAACGGGAAUACGUCUUAGGACAGUGUCUCGCACGCUUCUGGAUUAAUAUUGUGAUACUUUUUUUUCCACAGUUUUGAAAUUUAGCGAUUAUCGGUUAAAUUGAUUUUGUUAAUUUCAUCACAAAAUUAGUUAGAUUUUAUCACAAUUGGAUUAUUUGUUGCGGGUUUUUUCACCAACACCUACCACUCUCCAAUCAGUUGACAUAUGUGCCUCAUAGAGGAUUGAAGGAGAUCGUACUACUUUCCAAUCGGUUGACACAUAUGCCUCAUAGAGAGUCGAGGGAGAUCGUACUA